CCUACGGGAGGCAGCAGUCGGGAAUAUUGCGCAAUGGAGGAAACUCUGACGCAGUGACGCCGCGUGCAGGAAGAAGGUUUUCGGAUUGGAAACUGCUUUAGACAGGGAAGAAAAAAGACAGUACCGGUAGAAUAAGCGCCGGCUAACUACGUGACAGCAGCCGCGGUAAUACGUAGGGAGCACGCGUUAUCCGGAUUUACUGGGUGUAAAGGGUGCGUAGGCGGAUAAGCAAGUUAGUUGUGAAAUCCCUGGGCCUAACUGAGGAACUGCAACUAAAACUACUUCCCUUGAGUACUGGAGAGGAAAGCGGAAUGCCUGGUGUAGCGGUGAAAUGCGUAGAUAUUAGGAGGAACACCAGUGGCGAAGGCGACUUGCUGGACAGUCACUGACGUUGAGGCACGAAAGUGUGGGGAGCAAACAGGAUUAGAUACCCCUGUAGUC
rnacentral:rRNA from 1 species